AGAGUGGGUUGAUAUAGGUCCUUGAGUUGCCAUAAUGUGAAGAGUGACAAGAGCAAGACUGCAAAUGGGUACUCUUGAUGUGGAGUUUGCGGUUGAGCUUGCUUUGUGGAUGUUUCCUUCAUGACAACUGUAUUUGGAAACUAGAACUCUACUUUAGGAAUGUCGGGCCUAAGUGGCAUCCCACCACCUCGGUGGCAACCCGGAAGAUCGUUGCGGCAGCGAUGGCUGGUAACCAGAACUACCCUGCCGGUGGAAACGACCAUGAGAAGGAGUUUGGAGCUAUCUGGAAAGCCUACGGCGUGGAGCUAUGAACACAAUGUGGUAUAUAUUGUUGUCCUUGUAUAUAUAUAUCUCAUGGGCUGGGUAGUUUUCUCUGGGUGCUAAAUUAUGCCGCCUUUUCAUGCUUUGUUGUUGAUGUUAAGUUAUUUUUCCAAGAAUGGAUGUUUAAAACUAGUAUAGUUGAUUAAUAAUUUUGUAAAUAUAUUGGAUGUUUAGUUC